CAGGGAGCUCUACCCAGGGAAAAAGAAGAAAAGGACAUAUUCAUUUGAGGUUCAGUCUAAUGCCCCCCGCAUCAAGGACUUUGUGGCUAAGGAUAGGAAGGCUUAACUGAAGAAUUCAAAGCAGGAAAGGCCCUUGGAGAACAUCAAUCCUGCUGUUAAUAAUCCUGUCCCAUUAAGAGAACUUCGCUGGAAACCCCAAGAAGCACUGUUUGGCUCUGCACUUACCGCUCGACCAACAGGACAACCCACAGCGGAACGACGGGCCGACUGCACAGGGACUCAAUCUGACCCAGCCCUCCGGCCCCUCCGGUCUGGAGUUCACAACGCUGAGUGGGCUGCCUUCCUGACCCCCACCUCCCAGCCCCCACUGCAAACACUGGCCACAGCCAUCAUGAUGGAACUGAGAUAAACCCUUUUAUUUAUU